rnacentral:rRNA from 1 species
CUGCAUGAAGUUGGAAUUGCUAGUAAUCGCGGAUCAGCAUGCCGCGGUGAAUACGUUCCCUGGCCUUGUACACACCGCCCGUCACACCAUGGGAGCCGGUAAUACCCGAAGUCAGUAGUCUAACCGCAAGGGGGACGCUGCCGAAGGUAGGAUUGGCGACUGGGGUGAAGUCGUAACAAGGUAAC